CGCGGAGUAGUGCAAUGGCAGCACGACAGGGUUUGAGCCUGUAGUAGUCGGUUCGACUCCGGCCUCCGCAACCA
rnacentral:tRNA from 1 species